UGAAUAACUCUUCCAAACCAAGAGAUUCUUCACCAUUGCGAUCUCCUGACAGAAUACAGAGAGACAAAUCCUCAGUCCCAGUGCAAUACAAAAUACUCUCCUCCCCCACUAAGAAAUCCCCAAAGCCAAUCAAUUACAAGACUCCCUCCCCCGUUACUCACAAGUCUCCCCGUCCCACAAGAUUCCAACCCCUCACCCCACCAAUCAGGUAUCAAACCCCCUCCCCAACCAGGGGGAGAUCCUCUACGUACACACCAGAUAGGAAAAGAGGCUCGUCCCAACAUAAGUCAAGGUCACGUAGCCGUUCAAGGUCACACAGCAGGUCAAGGAGAAGAAGGUGAGUCUAAAGAAGUGCUUGAUCAAAAGCUAGAAAAAUUCAUGUCUGACUCUGCAAUCAAUUGUUUAAGUUUUCAUUGAAUGUACACCUUAUUCUAUUUUUAUGACUGGGUAAAAGUUAUCUCUCUUGGAAUAGAGAAGGAUUUUGCAAACCAUUCUUUAGUAUUCUACCUCUUGGAACCAAUGUUAAAGUUUUUCUAUCUGAUGAGUAGCUUAGUUUUAUUAAGUGAAUUGUAUACUUGCAUUAUUUUGCUCUUUGGCAUUUAAUGUUUUGUCUGUAUUUUUUCCAUGUGCUGUAGGAAUUACUCGUCGUCCUGUAGUCCCUCCAGAAGUUACAGUCGGAGCUUGUCUCGGAGUCGAUCCCGGAGACGCGAGUCUCGUAGUCCCUCCAUCCGACGUAGGAAAGGAUCCCCCAGCCAUCUGGACAAGCGGAGAAUCACAAGCGCUAGAAAACGCCCCGUUCCAUACUAUCGCCCCACACCGCCCAGUUCCAGCUCGGACAGCGAUAUGGAUGACUGGUUCUACCACCACUACCGCCGCUCCAGGAGCCACUCCCGCCACCGAAAAAGGAGUAGAAGUAGCAGUAUACUGCACUACCGCCACCGCAGCAGAAGCAUAGCUAGUGACAAAGGCAACUAAUGUUUGUGGCAGCAGUAUUCUGCACUACAACCACAAAAGCUGGAGCAUAGCUAAUGCCAAAAGCAUCUAGCAUCUGUGGAGGCAGUAUACUGCACUACAGCCACUGAAAACUAAGCAUAAUAAGUGACAAAGACUUCUAUUGUCUGUGGAAGCAGAAUGCUGCACUACUUCAGCUGAAGUAUAGCUAGUGACAAAGGCAUCUAAUGUCUGGGGCAGUUGUACUGUCAUUAUUUAUGUACUAUUUAUUCUAGACUUUUUCUGAGCUGGUAUCACUUUUCAAGGAGUGGUCAUAAAUCUCUGGAAUUGUGAUAUUCUUGUAAAUACCCAGACAGUGGGGCUUUUUGUGUUAUAUCACUGCAGGGCUCUCCUGAAGUGCAAAUAUCUAGAAGUGUAUUCAGAAUUUAUUUCCUAAAAACCAAAAAUGAUACCAAAGAGAUAUGGUUGUCAUAUCCAUUUUAUUUUAUUUUUUGUAAAAUGUAUGGAAAAAUACCGGGUUUUUAUCGUAUUUUCUUGAUGACCAUUACAGUAACUGUGUGAAAUGUAGAAUUACUACAAACUAAUUUCCCCAUUAAUAUCAGAUUCCAUCAGUUUAGAUUUUUAGUGAGUAUAACAUUACCAUUGCUGGUUUAGAAAGUUGAAAGAAUGCUAUGAAUAAAGUGUAAAGCUCUUUCUUUUUGGUGCAAAAUCACCAAGAGGUAUUCAGGGAAAUCCAAAUUAUCUACAUAUCUACAUGCUAGUGAUUAUCAUAAGGAAUAUUAUACAUUUUAUUGUGUUUGUUUAUUUGUAUACCAAAGGUUGGCGCUUCUUACAUUCUCAAACAUGUACUUUUAAAUGGCAACAAUACAUGAUGCCCAGUGGGUCAUCAUCUUCAUUUUGCUGAGAAAAAUACUAUCAACUGUGUAGAUUACAACACUAUCUGUUGCACAAUAAGUAAAUAAAGCAGUUGUGAUAGUUUUCUACUAUGCGAACGAACACCCCCACCCCUGCCCCCUCCUCCAUUUUCUCUGUCUCUAGAGUGAUGUUUUAACUGUAUAGAUGUAUUUUAGUUUGAUGCCCAAUAUGAAUUUGUGAAUCCCCCCCCCCCCUCCAACCACCCCACCCCCCGUCUAUAAAUGGCCAGGAUCUAUCUUACUGAAUGGGGAGCUACACAAUGAAAGGUUGUUAGUUUGUGCUGUGCAAUAUUUAAUUCUUCAGAUGCAUUUUACUGCUUAUUAUGCUAGUCAUUUUUUUACUCUUAGUGCAAUAAUUUGUUCAUUUAUCUUUUUUUUAUUUAUUUAUUUAUUUAUAGAAUUGUUUACUUUCUAAUUAUUUAUUUGUCUGUUCAACUUGACACUUAUUAACCUUUGUGAUAUAUGUUUACCAACAUUUUGUGAAAGGUUGAGACUUUUGUAAGGAUGCUGCAGUAUUUUGUUGAGUUUGUUUGUCCAAAUGUGGAAAACAGUAUCUUCUGUGUGAUUCUACUAACUUGAAGCAAUGUUUGAUAAAGUGUUUACAUGAAUUAUCAAUGGACCAAUUUAAUGUUCAUUUUUCUAGUGUGUUGCAAACCACACAUUUCCUGUACAUGUGUUUGAAAUAUGUGUGACCACAUUCCAUUUUAUUUGCAAAUAUAUAUAGGUUUUUGUUAUACAAGUACAUGUAUUGAUUCCGCAUCUGAGUAUGUUGUGCUUCUUCACAUUCCAUUAUGUGAGCCAUAUAAGCUGAAAAGUCUACAGAUUGUUGUUUAAUAUGGUAAUCACUUUUCGACAGUUUCAAAUGUUCACGUUUCCGUGUGUCUCAUAAUUUUCUUCUUUUACCAAAUAAAAUAUAUGAUGUUGGC
rnacentral:misc_RNA from 1 species